rnacentral:rRNA from 1 species
UACGUAGGAGGCGAGCGUUGUCCGGAUUUACUGGGCGUAAAGCGCGUGUAGGCGGUUCGAUUAGUCUGCUGUGAAAGCUCCCCGCUUAACGAGGAGAGGUCGGUGGAUACUGUCGGACUUGAGGACGGUAGAGGGGGGUGGAAUUCCCGGUGUAGUGGUGAAAUGCGUAGAUAUCGGGAGGAACACCAGUGGCGAAGGCGGUUGCCUGGAGCUUUGCUGACGCUGAGGCGCGAAAGCGUGGGGAGCGAUCCGG